rnacentral:rRNA from 1 species
AAACCAGCACCUCAAGUGGUCAGGAGGAUUAUUGGGCCUAAAGCAUCCGUAGCCUGUUCUGUAAGUUUCCGGUUAAAUCCAUUAGCUCAACUAAUGGGCCGCCGAAAAUACUGCAGAACUAGGGAGUGGGAGAGGUAGACGGUACUCGGUAGGAAGGGGUAAAAUCCUUUGAUCUAUUGAUGACCACCUGUGGCGAAGGCGGUCUACCAGAACACGUUCGACGGUGAGGGAUGAAAGCUGGGGGAGCAAACCGGAUUAGAAACCCUAGUAGUCC